AGAGAAGGAUAUAUUUUCCAUCCCAUGCAGGAGUCACUGUGGACACCUCACUGACAGCUGGCUGGCUGCAGGCUUGUCCCAAGACAGCACAGGCAGAGGCAAGGCGCUAAGGCAAUGAAGCAAGGGCUUUCUUAUGCAUGUGUGAAUCAUCAGUGAUUUCAGAAAAUCACUAAAAUUGCAGCAGCAGUACUUUUCUCGAGUGGGUGAUGGACAGGAGAAAGCAUUAGCCCAGCAGCAGGAGAUCUGGAUUCCAAAAUGAGUAGUUAACAAGGCCAAGUUGGUUUUACAAAGCAGUCUUAGAGCCAUGGAUCAGGUACACUCCCGCUUAAGAUUCUACCAUGGGCAUGGACUUUACUCUACAAUUCA